GCGUAUAUUUAAGUUGUUGCAGUUAAAAAGCUCGUAGUUGGAUUUUGGUUAAGAGGGCGCGGUCGGCCGUUUGGUCUGUACUGCGUUGUCUUGACUUCCUGAUGAGGACAUGCUCUCGGUUAACGCUGAGACAUGGAGUCAUCGUGGUUACUUUGAAAAAAUUAGAGUGUUCAAAGCGGGCUUACGCUUGAAUAUAUUAGCAUGGAAUAACACUAUAGGACUCCUGUCCUAUCUCGUUGGUCUCGGGAUGGGAGUAAUGAUUAAGAGGAACAGUUGGGGGCAUUCGUAUUUCAUUGUCAGAGGUGAAAUUCUUGGAUUUAUGAAAGACGAACUUCUGCGAAAGCAUUUGCCAAGGAUGUUUUCAUUAAUCAAGAACGAAAGUUGGGGGCUCGAAGAUGAUUAGAUACCAUCCUAGUCUCAACCAUAAACGAUGCCGACUAGGGAUUGGUGGAUGUUAAUUGAUGACUUCACCAGCACCUUAUGAGAAAUCAAAGUUUUUGGGUUCCGGGGGGAGUAUGGUCGCAAGGCUGAAACUUAAAGGAAUUG
rnacentral:rRNA from 1 species